AAUUGCAGUCAGUCUGAAAGACCCAAAGUGUCCUAAACAGGAUGAAGGACAGGGCACCGUACCUGGCACACCUGCUAAAAUGUCAGACUAUCAAACAUAAAGAGAAAAUCCUAAAAGCCCAGCAAGAGAAAGAACAAGCUACCACAGAGGCAUGAGGAUCACACUGGCAUUUGGCUUCUUGUUGCUGAUGUUAGAAGAACAAGCUACUACAGAGGCAUGAGCAACCACACUGGCAUUUGGCUUCUCAUUGGUGUUGCUGAUGUUAGGUGUCUAUGCAAGGAGCCUGUAAGCUUCUGAAAAAUGAUGAUUUAGAGCUGAGAAUUCUAUACCCAGCUAAACAGUCCAUCAAAACUGACAGUGAAGUUGAAACAGAUUCAGACGUGCAAGAACUCAGAACAUGCACUUCCUGGGUUAAAAAAAAUUUUUUUUUGAGAUAGGGUCUUGCCCUGUUUCCCAGGCUGGAAUUUGGAAAUUGGCUUGGAUGUAAUUGCAGAUGGGCCAGGAUUGCUCGAGUCAUCAUUGCCCUUUUGUCUUCCUGGAAAGCACCCGCCAGCAGUACGAAGGAGAAACACAUAUACAGACUCCCUCAUCCAGAAACCGAGAAACUGGGAAUUGCCCAGGCCUCCAGGUGGUGGGGAGGAAGGGCAGGAGGGAGAGACUAACACAGAGAGAGAGGGUCCCAUAGGGGUAUUUCUCAAGGGUGGGGCCAUUGAGGGGGAAGAGUGGGGAGGCUGCAAACAAGGACCCACAUGCAGUGGCCAUGGCUCUGAGUCAGGGAAGAAGUGCCAGAGGAGAAAUGGACACACAGGAGUGGCCAGGAUCGUUUUUUAAGGAGGUGCAUCUGAAACAUGUUAUGAAGCCUCCUUAUCGAAGCAGCUCGGGAGGCUGGAUGAAGACAGUAGUUGGGGCAACAGAGCAAAUGGUGCAGACGCUGCCCAGAUCCACACGGAGCCCCGUCUGUGCUCCAGGGGGAAUGAGUGGUGGGCUGGGCACCUGGAGAAAACCGUUGGUUGACUUUAUUCAUUGUCGUACAGCAGGGUGGAUUCCAGUGAUUCAUGUAGGUAAUAGUUAAAAAUAACUUCUCAAAGGCGUUCUCUAAGAAUGGGAAUGUUCUUUAAAACUUU
rnacentral:lncRNA from 1 species